rnacentral:rRNA from 1 species
GACGAACGCUGGCGGCGUGCUUAACACAUGCAAGUCGAGCGGAGCGCCGAACGGGUGAGUAACGCGUGAGUAACUGCCCCCCUCUCUGGGAUAACAGUUGGACACGGCUGGUAAUACCGGACCGUGGGGGAUGACUCGCGUCCUAUCAGCUUGUUGGUGGGGGAGUGGCCUACCAAGGAGACGCCGGAUACCCGGCCUGGGAGGGCGACCGGCCACAUUGGGCUGAGGUACGGCCCAAACUCCUACGGGAGGCAGCAGGCGGGAAUAUGUCACAAUGGGGGAAACCCUGAUGCAGCAACGCCGCGUGUGGGAGGACGGCCUUCGGGUGGUAAACCGCAUACAGCUAUGACGCGGUAGUGGCAGAAGAAGCACCGGCUAACUACGUGCCAGCAGCCGCGGUAAUUC